GGGGGGCGACGUUAAUCGGAAUUACUGGGCGUAAAGCGCAUGCAGGUGGUUUGUUAAGUCAGAUGUGAAAGCCCGGGGCUCAACCUCGGAAUAGCAUUUGAAACUGGCAGACUAGAGUACUGUAGAGGGGGGUAGAAUUUCAGGUGUAGCGGUGAAAUGCGUAGAGAUCUGAAGGAAUACCGGUGGCGAAGGCGGCCCCCUGGACAGAUACUGACACUCAGAUGCGAAAGCGUGGGGAGCAAACAGGAUUAGAUACCCUGGUAGUCCACGCCGUAAACGAUGUCUACUUGGAGGUUGUGGCCUUGAGCCGUGGCUUUCGGAGCUAACGCGUUAAGUAGACCGCCUGGGGAGUACGGUCGCAAGAUUAAAACUCAAAUGAAUUGACGGGGGCCCGCACAAGCGGUGGAGCAUGUGGUUUAAUUCGAUGCAACGCGAAGAACCUUACCUACUCUUGACAUCCAGAGAACUUUCCAGAGAUGGAUUGGUGCCUUCGGGAACUCUGAGACAGGUGCUGCAUGGCUGUCGUCAGCUCGUGUUGUGAAAUGUUGGGUUAAGUCCCGCAACGAGCGCAACCCUUAUCCUUGUUUGCCAGCGAGUAAUGUCGGGAACUCCAGGGAGACUGCCGGUGAUAAACCGGAGGAAGGUGGGGACGACGUCAAGUCAUCAUGGCCCCUUACGAGUAGGGCUACACACGUGCUACAAUGGCGCAUACAGAGGGGCGGGCCAACUUGCGAAAAGUGAGCGAAUCCCCAAAAAGUGCGUCCGUAGUCCCGGAUUGGGAGUCUUGCAACUCCGACUCCCAUGAAAGUCGGGAAUCCGCUAAGUAAUCCGUGGGAUCAAGAAUUGCCCACGGGUGAAAUACCGUUCCCCGGGGCCUUUGUACCACACCCGCCCCGUCCACACCCAUGGGGAAGUGGGGCUUGCAAAAAAGAAAGUAAGGGUAAGUUUUAAACCCUUUCCGGGGGGGGACCGCUUUACCCACCUUUGGGUGGGUUCCAUGGACUUGGGGGUGGAAGCCUAAGGGGGGGGGGGGCCCCCCCCAAACAAAAAAAAAAAUAUCCCCCCCCAUAACCGGGCGGGCCCCCCCAACAAGGCCGCGGACCCCCUUUACCCCCCCGGGGGACGGGGGCCCCCCGCCCCCCGCCCCCCCCCCCCGCAACCCCCCCCCCAUCCCCCCCC
rnacentral:rRNA from 1 species